rnacentral:rRNA from 1 species
AGUGAACGCUGGCGGUAGGCCUAACACAUGCAAGUCGAACGGCAGCACAGUAAGAGCUUGCUCUUACGGGUGGCGAGUGGCGGACGGGUGAGGAAUACAUCGGAAUCUACUUUUUCGUGGGGGAUAACGUAGGGAAACUUACGCUAAUACCGCAUACGACCUACGGGUGAAAGCAGGGGAUCUUCGGACCUUGCGCGAUUGAAUGAGCCGAUGUCGGAUUAGCUAGUUGGCGGGGUAAAGGCCCACCAAGGCGACGAUCCGUAGCUGGUCUGAGAGGAUGGUCCGCCACACUGGAACUGAGACACGGUCCAGACUCCUACGGUAGGCAGCAGUGGGGAAUAUUGGACAAUGGGCGCAAGCCUGAUCCAGCCAUACCGCGUGGGUGAAGAAGGCCUUCGGGUUGUAAAGCCCUUUUGUUGGGAAAGAAAAGCAGCAGGUUAAUACCCCGCUGUUCUGACGGUACCCAAAGAAUAAGCACCGGCUAACUUCGUG